rnacentral:tRNA from 1 species
GUGGUUUUAGUUUAUUUAAAAUAUUAAUUUUGCAUAUUAAAGUUUAUAACCAUG